rfam:Schistosoma rodhaini strain Burundi genome assembly, scaffold: SROB_scaffold0002378
AUCCAGCUGGUUAGUCCCAAAGAGGACGAAACGCGUGUCAAGCUGGAU